AACGAACGUUAGCGGCGCGCCUAACACAUGCAAGUCGAGCGAGAAAGGGCUUCGGCCCCGGUAAAGCGGCGCACGGGUGAGUAACACGUGGAUAACCUACCCCUUGGUGGUGGAUAACCUUCCGAAAGGAGGGCUAAUACAGCGUAAGACCACGACUUCGAAAGAGGUUGGGGUAAAAGUGGGCCUCUGUACACAAGCUCACGCCAGGGGAUGGGUCCGCGGCCCAUCAGCUAGUUGGUAGGGUAACGGCCUACCAAGGCGAAGACGGGUAGCUGGUCUGAGAGGAUGAUCAGCCACACUGGAACUGAGACACGGUCCAGACUCCUACGGGAGGCAGCAGUGGGAAUCUUGCGCAAUGGACGAAAGUCUGACGCAGCGACGCCGCGUGAGUGAUGAAGG
rnacentral:rRNA from 1 species